AAAUUACAAUUAGUGUGGAAAAAAAAAAAUACUAUUACAAAGUAUGACAAAGUAUGGUUGUAUAAUUAGUGCAUGGAAAGGGUUAAAAUACCAGCAUUUGAAAUACCCUGGGGUGUCUAUUUUUCAAAAAUAUAUGGUUUGAUGGGGAUUAAUUGAGUUAACCGGCUUCAAAGAUGAGAUGGAGGCAGAAUGACCAAAUGACCACCUGGAUUACGCAUGCCCCAAAAGUAGCCUUUUACCAGCCAAACAAUCUGACAAACCCAUGCAUGUGGGGUAUCGCUGUACUCAGGAGAUGUUGCUGAACACACAUUGGGGUGUUGUUUGAUAGUGACAUAUACCAGAACCUGUAUAUCUAUAACUAAAGUACAAUUUGUGUGGGAAAAAAAAUAAAAAAAAUUACUAUUACAAAGUUUGACAAAGUGUAGUUGUAUAAUUGGUGCAUGGAAAGGGUUAAAAUAACAGCAUUUGGAAUACCCUGGGGUGUCUAGUUUUCAAAAAUAUAUGGUUUGAGGGGGUUAAAUUGAGUUAACCGGCUUCAAAGAUGUUCCAAAGAGGAGAUGGAGGCAGACUGACCAGAUUUGUUAAAAAAGAUUUGGAAAUCAUAAAACGCUGCUUGUACUUAUUGCCCUAUAACAUACAAAAAACAGCAAAAAAACAUAAAAACAUUGGGUAUCUCUAAACUCAGGACAAGUAGUAGAAUCUAUUUAGCUAGUUUUUUUACUUGCUUUUUUAGGUGAGUAAAAGAUUUUUCAAAUAAAAGUCAUAAAAUGUCUUUUUUUUCAAUUUUUCACCAUGUUUUUUUUAUUUUUUUUAUAGUAAAUAAGAUGAUAUGAUCAAAAUAAUGGUAUCUGAAGAAAGCCCAUCUUGUCCUGAAAAAAACAAUAUAUAACUUAUGUGGGUACACUAAAUGGGUGAGGAGAAAAUUACACCUGAACACAAGCACCACAAAAGUGUCAAAACAGCCUCGGUCCCACAGGGUAGAAAACGAAAAAUGAGCCCGGUCCUUAAGGGGUUAAUAGAAAGGAUUGUUGAACAUCUGAAGUCACAUGGGUUUCAAGAUCAAAAACAACAUGGA